rnacentral:misc_RNA from 1 species
AAGGAGCACCACGAAAAGGGUUGAGACACUGGGUCUUACCCGAGCCGUGAGGAACCGGUUGCCUGUAGUGGGCACGGUUUGGUGCACAACAAACUUUUUUGACUGCCAGACACACUAUUGGGCUUUGAGACAACAGGCCCGUGCCCCUUUUGGGGGGUGGCAUCCGGUUGCGGGUGUCGGCGUGUUGUUGCCUCACUUUGGUGGUGGGGUGUGGUGUUUGAUUUGUGGAUAGUGGUUGCGAGCAUCUAGCACGCAGAAUCGUGUGGUCUCACUCCUUGUGGGUGGGGCUGGUUUUGUGUG